UUUUUGUUUAGGUAUUACUAUAUUACACAAUAUUCAUCGGAACCAAUUAAAUCAAAUGCAUUAAAUUCAAAACUAAUGGAAGGGGAAAAGGUUUUAGUGCCUACUUAACAUUAUCUUUGUAUGAGUAUGUUAAAAAUUGAAAUUCCUUAUCAGUUAUCCAAAUUACAUGUAUUACUAUAUUACACAAUAUUCAUCGGAACCAAUUGAAACAAAUGCAUUAAAUUCAAAACUAAUGGAAGGGGAAAAGGUUUUAGUCCCUACUUAAAAUUAUCUUUGUAUGAGUAUGUUAAAAAUUGAAAUUCCUUAUCAGUUAUCCAAAUUACAUGUAUUACUAUAUUACACAAUAUUCAUCGGAACCAAUUGAAUCAAAUGCAUUAAAUUCAAAACUAAUGGAAGGGGAAAAGGUUUUAGGCCCUACAUAACAUUAGCUUUGUAUGAGUAUGUUAAAAAUUGAAAUUCCUUAUCAGUUAUCCAAAUUACAUGUAUUACUAUAUUACACAAUAUUCAUCGGAACCAAUUGAAUCAAAUGCAUUAAAUUCAAAACUAAUGGAAGGGGAAAAGGUUUUAGUC